rnacentral:rRNA from 1 species
AGUGAACGCUGGCGGUAGGCCUAACACAUGCAAGUCGAACGGUAGCACAGUAAGAGCUUGCUCUUACGGGUGGCGAGUGGCGGACGGGUGAGGAAUACAUCGGAAUCUACUUUUUCGUGGGGGAUAACGUAGGGAAACUUACGCUAAUACCGCAUACGACCUACGGGUGAAAGCAGGGGAUCUUCGGACCUUGCGCGAUUGAAUGAGCCGAUGUCGGAUUAGCUAGUUGGCGGGGUAAAGGCCCACCAAGGCGACGAUCCGUAGCUGGUCUGGGAGGAUGAUCAGCCACACUGGAACUGAGACACGGUCCAGACUCCUACGGGAGGCAGCAGUGGGGAAUAUUGGACAAUGGGCGCAAGCCUGAUCCAGCCAUACCGCGUGGGUGAAGAAGGCCUUCGGGUUGUAAAGCCCUUUUGUUGGGAAAGAAAAGCAGCAGGUUAAUACCCCGCUGUUCCGACGGUACCCAAAGAAUAAGCACCGGCUAACUUCGUG